rnacentral:rRNA from 1 species
ACUCCUACGGGAGGCAGCAGUGGGGAAUAUUGCACAAUGGGGGAAACCCUGAUGCAGCCAUGCCGCGUGUGUGAAGAAGGCCUUCGGGUUGUAAAGACACUUUCUAGUAGGGAGGAAGGUAGUGUAGUUAACACCUGCAUUAUUUGUACGUUACCUACAGAAGAAGCACCGGCUAACUCCGUGCCAGCAGCCGCGGUAAGUACGGAGGGUGCGAGCGUUAAUCGGAAUUACGUGGGCGUAAAGCGCAUGCAGGCGGCCUGUUAAGUCAGAUGUGAAAGCCCGGGGUCUUAACCGUCGGAAUUGCAUUUGAAACUGGCAGGCUAGAGUCUUGUAGAGGGGUUAGAAUUUCGA